GGUGGUCUGUGAAGAACAGGCACAGAAAGGAAUAAGCUAGAUAAGCCCAGGAAGAGGGGAGGGUGGUCUGUGAAGAACAGGCACAGAAAGGAAUAAGCUAGAUAAGCCCAGGAAGAGGGGAGGGUGGUCUGUGAAGAACAGGCACAGAAAGGAAUAAGCUAGAUAAGCCCAGGAAUAGGGGAGGGUGGUCUGUGAAGAACAGGCACAGAAAGGAAUAAGCUAGAUAAGCCCAGGAAGAGGGGAGGGUGGUCUAUGAAGAACAGGCACAGAAAGGAAUAAGCUAGAUAAGCCCAGGAAGAGGGGAGGGUGGUCUGUGAAGAACAGGCACAGAAAGGAAUAAGCUAGAUAAGCCCAGGAAGAGGGGAGGGUGGUCUGUGAAGAACAGGGACAGAAAGGAAUAAGCUAGAUAAGCCCAGGAAGAGGGGAGGGUGGUCUGUGAAGAACAGGGACAAAAGGAAUAAGCUAGAUAAGCCCAGGAAGAGGGGAGGGUGGUCUGUGAAGAACAGGCACAGAAAGGAAUAAGCUAGAUAAGCCCAGGAAGAGGGGAGGGUGGUCUGUGAAGAACAGGCACAGAAAGGAAUAAGCUAGAUAAGCCCAGGAAGAGGGGAGGGUGGUCUGUGAAGAACAGGCACAGAAAGGAAUAAGCUAGAUAAGCCCAGGAAGAGGGGAGGGUGGUCUGUGAAGAACAGGGACAGAAAGGAAUAAGCUAGAUAAGCCCAGGAAGAGGGGAGGGUGGUCUGUGAAGAACAGGGACAGAAAGGAAUAAGCUAGAUAAGCCCAGGAAGAGGGGAGGGUGGUCUGUGAAGAACAGGGACAAAAGGAAUAAGCUAGAUAAGCCCAGGAAGAGGGGAGGGUGGUCUGUGAAGAACAGGCACAGAAAGGAAUAAGCUAGAUAAGCCCAGGAAGAGGGGACGGUGGUCUGUGAAGAACAGGCACAGAAAGGAAUAAGCUAGAUAAGCCCAGGAAGAGGGGAGGGUGGUCUGUGAAGAACAGGCACAGAAAGGAAUAAGCUAGAUAAGCCCAGGAAGAGGGGAGGGUGGUCUGUGAAGAACAGGCACAGAAAGGAAUAAGCUAGAUAAGCCCAGGAAUAGGGGAGGGUGGUCUGUGAAGAACAGGCACAGAAAGGAAUAAGC